AGACCUCUAAUCGGGAAAGAGCACGCGC
rnacentral:rRNA from 1 species